rnacentral:rRNA from 1 species
GACGAACGCUGGCGGCGUGCUUAACACAUGCAAGUCGAACGGAAAGGCCCUGCUUUUGUGGGGUGCUCGAGUGGUGAACGGGUGAGUAACACGUGAGUAACCUGCCCUUGACUUUGGGAUAACUUCAGGAAACUGGGGCUAAUACCGGAUAGGAGCUCCUGCUGCAUGGUGGGGGUUGGAAAGUUUCGGCGGUUGGGGAUGGACUCGCGGCUUAUCAGCUUGUUGGUGGGGUAGUGGCUUACCAAGGCUUUGACGGGUAGCCGGCCUGAGAGGGUGACCGGCCACAUUGGGACUGAGAUACGGCCCAGACUCCUACGGGAGGCAACAGUGGGGAAUAUUGCACAAUGGGCGGAAGCCGGAUGCAGCAACGCCGCGUGCGGGAUGACGGCCUUCGGGUUGUAAACCGCUUUCGCCUGUGACGAAGCGUGAGUGACGGUAAUGGGUAAAGAAGCACCGGCUAACUACGU